CUCUGCCUCUCCGCCCCGCCGUCAUGUGGGAGCUUCGGCCGCUCCUCCUCGGCCUCGAGGUCGGCGGCUGCGGAGCGCCUCGGUUCCGAAGCGCGGUCUGAAAGGGCUCCCCAGGCGGCGGCUGUGCCGUUAUAGGAAAAAAGUGAGCGUGGAGUGUGUUAUCCCGAGCACCACUGCGAUGCUGGGCUGAGGAGUUCGUGAGGCUUUGUUCUUCCAGAAACUCCAUGGAAAUUCUCCAAGGAUCGUUACUUUGUCAUGCUCAUUAGAACUUGAGAUGAAACCUAUUGAGGUGCCUUAACAUCAUCUCCGAACACCAGGUGCUUUGGCAUUUCAGAUGUCACAUGGGUCAGGACAAAAUAGCAUUUCUAAUUGUCAGCUACAGAAUUGGACACAAAACUGUGAGAGGAGGAGGGAAAUCCCCGUAGAGAGAAUUCAAGGUUAUCACUCUGCUUCUGACAGAAUUGAAAAGCUAACUGACUGACAUGAAAGACCCAGCUUCUUCUACAGUAAUGUUCUGUAAUGGAAAGGCACUGAAGUCGUUCUGCCUUUUGUCCCAGAUCUCUCAUCUCUCAUGUAUUCUUUUCUUUCUCUGUCACAAGAAGCUUUGUAAGAUGGGAAUAUGAAGAACAUCUGAAGUCUGUUGAACAAAAUCCUCUUGCUGCAGCAUUCCAAGCUGUUGUGGCUGGUAACUUCUGUAGCCAG
rnacentral:lncRNA from 1 species